ACACUGUUUGAUUGAUUCGACAUUUUUUUCAUGUUUCCAACAUUGAGAUGCAUUUGAUACCACAAAGAAAGCAAUUGGCAAAAGAAACAUCCUUACACUAUUUACACGCUGUUCCCACAUGUUCUGCAAGUUUAGAUUAAAUGCACGUCAAGAAGUACUGGAAUACUUGCCUGCAGUUUGGUUUCUUGCAAACACAAUACAUCAAAAUUUUCCCUUUGGGCCAGUUGCAGUACAGAGAAUCCUUCUAACUUUAGUAACGCUCUUAACCCAUUGACAUUCCAAGACAGAAGCUUCACAGAUUUUGUACCCUCUGCCAGAGGUGGAGGCCUCAUAGUUCUAGGGUUAUAAGCAAUCCAUCCCUUUUGAGGCUUCUUAUGCGCAAGCAUUGUCCAAGGUUCACUUUGGACUGUUAGCAGAGUAACUGCACUAUCAUCAGUAGCCAUUUCACUAUUAAUAUACAUACCUAAUAUUAUUUACUUUUUAUCAAAAGGACCCUGCCUAGAAACAAUAACCAGGUGUCUAUGCUCCGGAUAAAACCGAAUGAACUAAGAUUAACGACCUAAAGAACAUGUAAGUUAGAGAAAGAGUGCAUUUUAAAUUAACAAAGGAUGCCAAAUGAUUAUUAAUGAAGCAAAAGUUCAAAAUAAUAAAGCUGUGAAAACUGUAUACGUAUAAUCUACUGUACCUGAAAUCUUAUCAGUUUUGACUGAGGCUUUAGCAUCAACUUCACCAGUUUCAUUGCCAAUUGGUGAUUUUGUAGCCUUUCUCUUACUUUCUUGGAGUGCAGAAACUUCUGGAACAGAGUAAAUUUCUUGAGCAUGUUCCUCAUGAGAAAACUUCUUAGCCUUCCUCUCCCCUGAUAUACUUUUCGUAUUAGCCUUCCUUUUUACUGAUACACUUUCAGUAGAAAUGGAGGAUACCUCUUCUAUUUCCACAUGAGAACUACCACUUGCACAUCGAAGAAACUUCCAACCUUUAAAAAUAAGCAACAUAGCAUUGAACCAAAACUGAUUGAGAGAACAAGGACGAGGCGGAACAAAGGUAAAACAAACAAUUGAGAGUAACGAAAAUUCUUCUGCUCCAAUCUUAAUGGAAAUGACACGACGCUAUGCAAAAUACUGGAGAAUAUUGAAAUUUGAUUCUUUGGUAAAAAGAGUUUACCUUCCAUCUUCUUCUCCACAUAAACCUUCAAGGCAGAUACUGGAUCACGUUUAGAACCUUUAGCAGGGACCCCAAUACUCCUGAUGAUUAAGAAUGAAAUAAGCAUACUAACAAACACUACAAAUAGAGGUGCAACAUAGUAUUCUGUCCAUCAACCAUCCACUCAAUUGAUUUCAUUCUCCAAAUCAAUUUGAAGAACCGUCAUUGACCAUUCAAGACGAGGCACAAGAAAUGAAAGUAAUACAGAGAAGCCGACACCUAAACCAUUUCAAGUUAGUUACAUAUAUACUAGUUUGUCAUGAAGCUUCCAGAACAAAAGCACCCCCCCUCCAUAUCUCAGGCAACCCAAAUGAAACCUAAUAAUCUGAAUGCACAUCAGACGUAAAUCGUGUGGGUUUUUCUGAAAGUUAUAUAUGCAUGAUACAAAAUUUCACGUCUUUCUGAAUGUUGAGCCUUUAAAACUUUGGCUUACCUCAAUAUAGUUCUGAGUUCUUGAACUGUCAUGACCUCAAUUCUCUCGGGAUUAUCCUUUACACUCUGAAUUCCAGCUUCAUCGCUUUCUACACCAAUAUCCUACACAUCAAUUUACGGUUAAAAUUUUCCUUAAUUACUCCAAUUGUCUCACUAUCUUCUUGUACACUAACUAAUAUUGACAGUGACUCGAUACACAAACCCACAAGACAAUGAGGCAAGUUAAAACAAUCAGCAACAAAAAUCAAAACCAUGGCACACCUUUGGGGUCGAACCCACUAAUCUGUUCACCUUUUCAUCUUCCAUGUUAUCGAAAGACGAUGCCGGUUUGGAUGAACUUGCAAGAUGCCGUUUAGGCUUCAUAGCUCUGAAGGAGACAAAGGUUCCAAUUCUAAAAUUUCUUGGAGUAACUGCAAAGCUAAAGAAGAAAAGAGAUAUAUUAAAACAGAAUGUCAUCGUAAUUGAGGAUGCUAUUUUGUUCAAGUCUUAGCUCCUACAAGAAGAAGAUUUACUUGCAGCUUCAAAAUUUUAUACCACUUACAGCAGGGUUAUAAAUGUCUAUCUCCUGAUGAGCACAAUUAAGAUCACCAGUCAAAACGACAGGCUUCUUCUUUUCCAGCUCCUGAAUCAUGCAUAUGAAGUAUCAUAAGCAUCAAAGGCACUUCAAAUAUCUAACUAUUUUGUGAAGAAAAAACACCAUGUCGAUAGAUAUAUUACAUCCACAAAAAAAAAAAAAUAAUAAUAAUAUAAAUAAAUAAAUAAAUAAAAUAAAAUAAAAGAAAAAGGAAACAGCUAAAAAGCAACAAGUUACAACUACAUGAAUCAUUAAGGCUUAUGUUUCUAGAAAACGAUACAGAGAGAAAAACACACACAUAUAAGCAUAGAGAUGUCUCCCUAAUAUGGACGUAUAUUAGUAGCCACAGCUUAUAGUAACUUAAAAACAUAGUAUUUAUAAAGAAGUAUAAAAAAAAAAUAAAUAAAUAAAUAAAUUGACAGAGAGAGAGCACAUACUUACUUUCACAUAGCUGCUAAGAGAUGGAUCCCAUUCUGUAAUUCUGUAUGACUAGAAUUGAAAGCAUAGACAUCAGUCAAAAAACUCUUCGAAGAAUAAAAUAGAUUAGCAACAUAAUACAAGAUGCUUGAGCUCAUCACCAGUCUUCUCAAGCCAUCUCCAGAGUUUGGAAAAUAACAGCUUAACAGAAAAAAUGAAUCAAACUCUGCUGUCACCAGCCGUCCCUCACUGUCGUGAUCUGAUAUGCCUAGGCCAUAUGUGACUGAGAGUGGUUUUAUCUACCCAAUAAGUGUUAAAAACUUUAGAACGCAUACCAUUUAGCAAAAUCAUCACUGAAGUAAAAGAAAUAGUUGCAAUGCAAAAAUCAAUCAGCAUUGGAGGGGGAACAAAAUACUUUGUUCAAGAAAGCAGCCUCCCUGAUCAUACUACAGCAGAGAUAAACAUUGCCACAAUUUUAGCCACAAAAUUUCAAACAAAGUGAGAAAAUUUGAUUUCUAAAGAUUUAAUCUGGCUGCUCAAUUAUAAAAGUUGAUGGAAAUAAUAAGCAUACCCGUGAGAUAAUUGCUAUACCAGAAUACCCAAGUUUAGAAGCGCUACAUGUCCGGAAGCUAUUCACAUAUCCAUCUAGAAGACACUGUUUGAUUGAUUCGACAUUUUUUUCAUGUUUCCAACAUUGAGAUGCAUUUGAUACCACAAAGAAAGCAAUUGGCAAAAGAAACAUCCUUACACUAUUUACACGCUGUUCCCACAUGUUCUGCAAGUUUAGAUUAAAUGCACGUCAAGAAGUACUGGAAUACUUGCCUGCAGUUUGGUUUCUUGCAAACACAAUACAUCAAAAUUUUCCCUUUGGGCCAGUUGCAGUACAGAGAAUCCUUCUAACUUUAGUAACGCUCUUAACCCAUUGACAUUCCAAGACAGAAGCUUCACAGAUUUUGUACCCUCUGCCAGAGGUGGAGGCCUCAUAGUUCUAGGGUUAUAAGCAAUCCAUCCCUUUUGAGGCUUCUUAUGCGCAAGCAUUGUCCAAGGUUCACUUUGGACUGUUAGCAGAGUAACUGCACUAUCAUCAGUAGCCAUUUCACUAUUAAUAUACAUACCUAAUAUUAUUUACUUUUUAUCAAAAGGACCCUGCCUAGAAACAAUAACCAGGUGUCUAUGCUCCGGAUAAAACCGAAUGAACUAAGAUUAACGACCUAAAGAACAUGUAAGUUAGAGAAAGAGUGCAUUUUAAAUUAACAAAGGAUGCCAAAUGAUUAUUAAUGAAGCAAAAGUUCAAAAUAAUAAAGCAGUGAAAAC
rnacentral:lncRNA from 1 species